AUCGAGGCGCAUACCAUCCCAAACAUACCCAACCUCAUCUGAUCUCAGAAGCUAAUCAGGGUUGGGACUAGUUAGUACCUGGAUGACAGAAACAAUACUUUUCUUCCAGU
rnacentral:rRNA from 1 species